UUCCGGUUGAUCCUGCCGGACCUGACUGCUAUCGGAUUGAUACUAAGCCAUGCGAGUCAUUGUAGCAAUACAAGGCAUACGGCUCAGUAACGCGUAGUCAACCUAACCUAUGGACGGGAAUAACCUCGGGAAACUGAGAAUAAUGCCCGAUAGAACACUAUACCUGGAAUGGUUUGUGUUCCAAAUGAUUUAUCGCCGUAGGAUGGGACUGCGGCCUAUCAGUUUGUUGGUGAGGUAAUGGCCCACCAAGACUAUUACAGGUACGGGCUCUGAGAGGAGUAGCCCGGAGAUGGGUACUGAGACACGGACCCAGGCCCUAUGGGGCGCAGCAGGCGAGAAAACUUUGCAAUGUGCGAAAGCACGACAAGGUUAAUCCGAGUGGUUUCUGCUAAAGGAACCUUUUGUUAGUUCUAGAAAUACUAACGAAUAAGGGGUGGGCAAGUUCUGGUGUCAGCCGCCGCGGUAAAACCAGCACCUCAAGUGGUCAGGAUGAUUAUUGGGCCUAAAGCAUCCGUAGCCGGCUCUGUAAGUUUUCGGUUAAAUCUGUACGCUCAACGUACAGGCUGCCGGGAAUACUGCAGAGCUAGGGAGUGGGAGAGGUAGACGGUACUCGGUAGGAAGGGGUAAAAUCCUUUGAUCUAUUGAUGACCACCUGUGGCGAAGGCGGUCUACCAGAACACGUCCGACGGUGAGGGAUGAAAGCUGGGGGAGCAAACCGGAUUAGAUACCCGGGUAGUCCCAGCUGUAAACUAUGCAAACUCAGUGAUGCAUUGACUUGUGGUCAAUGCAGUGCUGCAGGGAAGCCGUUAAGUUUGCCGCCUGGGAAGUACGUACGCAAGUAUGAAACUUAAAGGAAUUGGCGGGGAGCACACAGGGGUGAAGCCUGCGGUCAAUUGGACUCACGCGG
rnacentral:rRNA from 1 species